rnacentral:rRNA from 1 species
AGAAUCAACGCUGGCGGCGUGCCUCAGACAUGCAAGUCGAACGCGAAAGUCCCCUUCGGGGGGCAAGUAGAGUGGCGCACGGGUGAGUAACACGUAGGUAAUCUACCUUUGGAUGGGGAAUAACAACCGGAAACGGUUGCUAAUACCGCAUAAUGCAGCGGCACCUAAUGGUGACAGUUGUUAAAGCGGGGGAUCGAAAGACCUCGCGUCUGAAGAGGAGCCUGCGGCGGAUUAGCUAGUUGGUAGGUAACGGCCUACCAAGGCUACGAUCCGUAGCCGGCCUGAGAGGGCGGUCGGCCACACUGACACUGACAUACGGGUCAGACUCCUACGGGAGGCAGCAGUCGGGAAUUUUGGGCAAUGGGCGAAAGCCUGACCCAGCAACGCCGCGUGAAGGAUGAAAUCCUCGGGAUGUAAACUUACGCAAGAACGGAAGAAAGUAAAGUAGGGAACAAUACCCCUAAUGAUGACGGUACCGUUUGGUAAGCUACCGGCUAACUCCGUGCCAAGCAGCCGC